UCUUCCUUCUCCUUCGUCUCUCUCCCUCGUAGCUCUCACUCUCUCCCUCUCUCUCUCAGCUCUCCCGUACCUCUCUCCCUCAAACUCUCGCAUAUCUCUCUUCCUGUGGACUCACUAGGACCGAGUCACCAUCGAAGAGAAGCUCGCAACGAGCCCAGGACCUCUCUGCCCGCGAGUUUGACAGCACGGAGCAAAGCUCCGGUGAACCCCCCUCCCUCUUUUUCCGUUAGGUUUUGCCUUGGAAUCGUUCCAGGGUGAGCACACCCAUUUUUCUGGCGAACCGUGGACGUUGGGAGCUUUUUCCGGUCACCUCUGACUGAGUCACGGUCUUUGGAAGGUAAAGUUGUUAUUAAGGAAAUUCGUAAUCCUGAUUCGCGCAAUUCUUCUGCUAAGGAAUAUUUACUAUCCGAUGGAUGACGAUAGGAUGCUAGAACAUGACUUAGGAUCAAGACAUCUAAUCCCAGCGUCAAGACACUUCCGCAGUAGCAUCUUUGAAUCCUCUUGAUGUAGGACUCACUUCUUUAUUCAUUCAAUUUUAUCUUAAUUCUUUUUAGUGAUUAGAUUUAGUUGUAUGCUCUAAACACGUUCCUAAAUUGUUAAUUCAUUGUAUUUUAAAUUCAUAACCCUUAUUUAUUUCUUAUUCUUAGCUUUUGUAUCAAUUAAUGGCUUUCGUCACCCUCGGGUGUCGGCCAGCACGUGUCUAUCCUGGUAUUCGGAGAAUAUCAGGGUAGGGGCGUAUCACUUAUUAAUCAC
rnacentral:sRNA from 1 species